rnacentral:rRNA from 1 species
UACAGAGGUCCCAAGCGUUGUUCGGAUUCACUGGGCGUAAAGGGUGCGCAGGUGGCUUGGUAAGUUUGAUGUGAAAGCUCAGGGCUCAACCCUGAAAUGGCAUUGAAUACUAUCAGGCUUGAGGUUUGGAGGGGGGACUGGAAUUCUCGGUGUAGCAGUGAAAUGCGUAGAUAUCGAGAGGAACACCAGUGGCGAAGGCGAGUCCCUGGACAACACCUGACACUGAGGCACGAAGGCCAGGGGAGCAAACGGG